UCUCUUGCUCUGGAGGAAGUGAGCUGCCAUGCUAUGAGGACAUGCAAGCCAUCUAUGGAGAGGUCCAGGGAUGAGAAACUAAGUCCUCCAGCCAACAGCCAGCAUUAACUUGCCAACCAAGUGAGGAGCCACCUUGGCAGCAGGUCUCCAGCAGCCCCAGUCAACAUCUGGACUGCACCCUCGUGAUAGAGCCUAAGCCAGAACCACCCAGCUAAGCUGCUUCCAUUCCUGACCCACAGAAAUAAUUCUAAUCUCUGCAUCUGUGAGUCUCCAGUUUUUCAGCCCAAGCUUGACAAGAUGUGGGGUCCCCUUCAGUUGCUCCAACAGCCUGGCCAGGCUGACUCGUACAUCAUCCCACCAGGGCAGCAUCAGCACGGUUAGCUGUUCCAAGAUGUGCAGCCUGUCAACUUGAAGAACCAGAGAGCAGGAAGUGUUCAAGAAUAUACAAAUACAGAGAACAGUAUAAUGAAACUAUAUGUACUAAUAAGCCAACUUUCAACCAACGCUGAGUCAUGGAUGAUCCUGCUUCAUUGUCGUCAAAUCCCUUCCCGUCUCUAUAUUAUUUUGAAACAAAUCUCAGACACUGCGGGAUCUUAGUUGCCCGACCAGGGACUGAACCCCCACCCCCUGAAGUGGAAGCGCAGUCUUAGCCACUGGACUACCAAGGAAGUCCCUAAAUUGUCAUUCUUACUUAGUUCAUGAAGAGCUUCGUUUCCAUCCUUUUCCAGAUGAUUUUCAGAUAAAUCAAGAAUGCUCAGUUUGGCCAAGUUGUGAAGAUUC